GACGAACGCUGGCGGCGUGCUUAACACAUGCAAGUCGAACGGGCCUGUCUUCUUUUUUGGGGGUGGGUUGAGUGGCGAACGGGUGAGUAUCACGUGAGUAACCUGCCCUUCGGUCCUGGAUAACCGCUUGAAAGGGCGGCUAAUACGGGGUGGUCCGGUUGGUCCGCAUGGGCUGGUCGGGAUAGAUUCACUGUUUUUGGUGUUUCGGCGGGGGAUGGGCUCGCGGCCUAUCAGCUUGUUGGUGGGGUGAUGGCCUACCAAGGCGGUGACGGGUAGCCGGCCUGAGAGGGUGGGCGGCCACAAGGGGACUGAGAUACGGCCCAGACUCCUGCGGGAGGCAGCAGUGGGGGGUAUUGCAAAAUGGGCGGAAGCCUGAUGCAGCGACGUCGCGUGAGGGAUGGAGGCCUUCGGGUUGUGAACCUCUGUUUCCGGUGGUGAAGGCCCUGUCCGUGUGGUGGGGUUGACGGUAGCCGGGGAUGAAGCGCCGGCUAACUACGUG
rnacentral:rRNA from 1 species